CCCAGAGUGAGCGCCAUGCCUGAGGCUUAGAGCAGGGUCACCUCCUCCUUUCAAACAGGAAUCCAUGCUGAGGCUGGAGCCUCUUUAGACCCACGUGGCCCCACAGCCCACAGAACCAAGGCUGACCCCAAGGCUUGAGCUAAAGCAAACAGUCACGUAUAUCACGUGUUGCUAUCAGAUGACUUGUGAGAAGCUGCCUUGUUUCCAGUGCUAUCAGAGCCCAGGUGAUUCUCUAGCAAAUGCUUUGCCGGGAAACCUGGAGGUUUCUUCUUUCGGGAUUGCUUCUUUGUGAGUUUCAAACAGAGUAAAAUAAAAAGUCUGCCACAGAAAAUUGACAUCAUAAUUAAAGGCCCAGAGGUCGGCGUGAGACUGGCAUGAGGGGCAGAGGAAGGACAUGGGGCCCACCCGGAGUCUCCGACCACCCCCAGGCUCAAGAGUUCCCUCUAAGGACUCACGGAAGUGAGUAAAGCUGUCGGACACACGGCUACAAUUAUGAGAGUGAACGGACACUGAUGAAAAUCAGCAACAGGACAAGAUGCACAAGGCAGGGCCAUCCAGGAGAUAGCGGGCUCUGCUCAGAGCUGCCAGCCGUCCUCUCCCCGUGGAGCCCUGCGGCGCGCUGGCUUCUCCUGGUGACGGUGUGCACCAGCUCGCAUGGAGUAUCGCCAACCAGGGAAGCUCGCCCGAGCCUUGGCGUCCACGGUUUUACUGGUUAAUCAUGUGUACAUGGUGGCCUCAGUGUCCAGCCCCUCCAGAGGUGGGGCCAUCCUGUGUGGCCCAAGACCCCCAGCAUAAAUCACGUUUGCCUAGACUGUCCAGCAGGGCCCAAGGCCCCCAGCUAAACAAAGCCACUCUCACCAGGCACAGCAUGCCAAGGGCCUCUCGGCUACUGCAAAGCUGGAGAAAAGGCCAGACUUCUCUUUGGACAAGGUUGAACCUUUACUGAACAGCUGUCCUCCCCACAAGAGGAACUAGAGCACAGAGGGGCUCAUCUGCUGGGCCAAGGUAGCUAAGGGCAAUGUGAGGGUCUCACAGUCAACCCAGGACCUCCCUAACUCAAAGCUCUUCCCUAACUCAAAGCUCUUCCCGCUACACAGCAAGAAGAAGGGACUUCCCAGCUAAAUGGUGACAUCUGCUUUCCACUGAAUCUGAGAAAGGAGAAGCUUCCAGAAUGAGACUAAAUAAUUUGCAGAGGAGAAGGAACAGAACUUGCCUUCAGAAUGUGGACCACUCCCCGUAACUCAGAGACAAAACAAUCCCAUACCUUGAAGUAGCUUGGAGAUGAGCUUUAUUUUAUAUCAACAUUAAUACAUAUGGGUAUACCUAGCUUUAUUUCCCCCCUCAACUUAGAGUCUGAAUGUGUGGUAAGCAUGUUCAUCGCUGGAUAAGCAUCUGGUAUGGUCUAAUCGGCAAUAAGUAGGGGAGUGGGGGCCGGGCGCCAUGGCUCACACCUGUAAUCCCAGCACUUCAGGAAGCCGAGGUGGGCGGAUCACUUCAGGUUAAGAGUUUGAGACCAUCCUGGCCAACACGGUGGUGAAACCCGGUCUCUACUAAAAAUACAAAAAAAUUAGCCAGGUGUGGUGGCAGGAGCCUGUAAUCCCAGCUACUCGGGAGGCUGAGGCAGGAGAAUCGCUUGAACCCGGGAGGCAGAGGUUCAGAGGUUGCGGUGAGGUGAGAUUGCACCAUUGCACUCCAGCCUGGCAACAGAGCAAGAGUCCGUCUCAAAAAAAAAAAAAAAAAAAUAGGUGUGGUGGUGCACGCCUGUAAUACCAGCUACUCGGGAGGCUGAGGCAGGAGAAUCACUUGAACUCGGGAGGUGGAGGUUGUAGUGAGCCAAGAUCGCGCCACUUCACUCCAGCCUGGGUGAUAGAGUGAGACUUCAUCUCAAAAAAAAAAAAAAAUGUAGGGGAGUGGAAAGUUUUCAGGGAACCCAAGAGCCUGAGUCUUCCUGAAUGAGCUCUCCAGCAAGGUGAAAGCCCAGCAGAGUCUCCGGUGGGCAAAAAUCUCAGGCAGAAGAAACUUCUGUGACUGCAUUCACUUAUUCAUAAGAGAACACCCACGGCCCCACUGCCCCAGCUGAGGAUGAGGAAAGCAACCACAGCUGCCGCUCUCACUAGCUUCUUUCUCCAGCCUAGAGACUGGCGUGACUCCAUCUCGCCGUGAGGUGCCCAGGGUGGGAGAAGACCUCAUGGCCAUGGUGGGCAGCCCGUGGCUUUAUGAGUGAGGACAGCCAGGAGCACCGAACCCCAAUACCCGGAACACUAGCACAGCAACAGUGCCAGGCAGACCCCAAUCUCUCAAUUCCUGGCCCCGCACUUGCGUCAAUAUGGUACCGCAGUGAGACCCUACAUCUGCUCCACCGAGGCUGACCCUGGAACCAGUGCUGGAUCUCUGAUGACUAGGAGGACCCGGUGGUUACCAGGGUCCCACAGCCAGUCUGCAGACCUGCCCAGGCAUGACAGUGUUUCCAUGUCCUCAUCAAAACGAGAGAAAAGACGGCUGGGUGAGGUGGCUCAUACCUGUAAUCCCAGCAUUCUGGGAGGCUUAGGUGGGAAGACAGCUGGAGCCUAGGGGUUCAAGACCAGCCUGGGCAACACAGUGACACUGACCCUGUCACUACCAAAAAAAUAAAUUAGCUGGGUGUGGUGGCGCGUUCCCACAGUCCCAGCUACAUGAGAGGCUUGAGGUGGGAGGAUCAAUUGAGCCCAGGAAAUUGAGGCUUCAGUGAGCCGUGCACUUCAGCCUGGAUGACACAGCAAGACCCUGACUCAAAAACAAGAGAGAAGAGCAAUGGAAUGGGUUCCUCUGGAAACUCAAUUUGAAGAAGGACCCUUUUUCUGACAUGCUCUUCCUCUGCUUUUAGCAUUGAAAUAUACCUUUGGAAAUGGCA
rnacentral:lncRNA from 1 species